ACACAUGAAUAUAUUUACUCAUUCACAAUCUCUCUUAUUUAUAUAAAAGAAAUGUACAUGUAAGGUGGUAACCAACACUUUCACUAAAAAUCAUUUGGCUCGCUUAAUUUUCAUGAAACUUUGACCAAGUAUUUACUUUGACCCUUUGACAAAAAUAUAAAAAAAUCAAAAUAUUUGAACCAACCAAUUUAUCCGAAAAAAUACACUGGUUACAUAGCAGUUUGACAAACACUAAUUUUGAUCAUUGAGAAACUUAAUAUUCCCUUAAUAACUCGACGUAAUUAAAACGUUUAGCUGAUUUUACAGAGUUAUCUCCCUGUAGUGUUAGGUACCACCUUAAGAGAGAAAAAACUAACAAACAUAAACCACUGUCCAAGUCCCCUGUUUUCAAAGGACACUUGUGAAACAUGGAAAAGGUUGACCUUGAACGACAUUUUGCUUAUUCUGCUUGUGAACUUUCGGUGCACGAUAUUGUUUCAAAUCAGUAGUCAGAGACUCGGUACGGACAUGAUAUAUAAAAAAGGAAUAUACUACGCUAUAAAAAUUAUGCGUUUUAACCGCUUUUCAAAAUUUUCCUUCAUCUGGAUUGUUAAAAGUCAAAUAUUAAAAAAAAACAUAGAAACAAAAGAACUGACACAAUUCAAAAGUUUCAUAACUGUAAAAAAAAAUAUAGCCAACUCCAUCUAUAAUUCAACUUUCUUUUUAGUUGGAACCUUAGUUUCUAAAUAUAUAUAUAAACGGAGUUUUUUUUAAGAAAGGCAACAUACUUUCCUUAAAUUUUCCAUUGAGACAUGAUACAAUAAAUAUAAAACUAAAGUUCUUAUCCCCUAAGGUAAAGUUUAUUCUACGUUCUUUUUUUAAUAAAUUCUAUCUCGUGUUUCGAUAUUUAUGUAUCGUCCGAUAUUUUGGCUUUCAGAGUUCCUUGUAUCGGUUUAUCAAAGUAAGGAUACCAUUUUAGUAGAAUCUGAUAAUUCUUUUCUUAGGUUAAACUGUUUUAUAAACAUAACAAAUUACAAAUGUUUCGAAACCAACGGUAUUUUUUUAACUUCAAAUACACACGUUUUAUUGUGUCUUUUAAAUAGCUGUUUGAAAGUUUUGUUAUAGCUAGUUAUUUGUUAUGAUUGAAUUCCAAUGUGGGAAAUAUCCUGAUUUCUAUCAUGUUUUUAAAGGAUGUAUCUUUCAAAAGGUUGACUGAAUAAAACUUAAAACGUGUUUUUUUUAACAUUCUUUUUGUUUCUUAUCAUUUAUUGAAAAUUCUGAUAAAAAAAAGAUUAAAAC
rnacentral:lncRNA from 1 species